rnacentral:lncRNA from 1 species
AGAUGAUGGAGGCUAGGGAGACAAGAGAUAAAGAGAGGGAGGAUACGAGUAAUGAAGCAACCAGAGUUGUUGGUUUGCUGGUUGGCGUGAGGAGGAGGUCGAGACCAACAUGGCAAGACGGCAGCUCCAGCUGGUGCGACAAAUGGAAAGGUAGACUCCUUGCAAUGGGGUUGAGGUGGCUGACAAGGUCGGGCAUAGGAGAGUUGGCACGGGGAGGGGCUUCUCCGGCAGAGGCGUGUGGGAGACUCAGGCGAGCUCCAUGGCGAGGUGAACAGGAGGAGCGGGGUUGCUGGCGCUCAUGGGUGAGCUGUGGUUGCGGGG